AUUGAACGCUGGCGGCAGGCCUAACACAUGCAAGUCGAGCGGAUGAAGGGAGCUUGCUCCUGGAUUCAGCGGCGGACGGGUGAGUAAUGCCUAGGAAUCUGCCUGGUAGUGGGGGAUAACGUCCGGAAACGGGCGCUAAUACCGCAUACGUCCUGAGGGUGAAAGUGGGGGAUCUUCGGACCUCACGCUAUCAGAUGAGCCUAGGUCGGAUUAGCUAGUUGGUGGGGUAAAGGCCUACCAAGGCGACGAUCCGUAACUGGUCUGAGAGGAUGAUCGGUCACACUGGAACUGAGACACGGUCCAGACUCCUACGGGAGGCAGCAGUGGGGAAUAUUGGACAAUGGGCGAAAGCCUGAUCCAGCCAUGCCGCGUGUGUGAAGAAGGUCUUCGGAUUGUAAAGCACUUUAAGUUGGGAGGAAGGGCAGUAAGUUAAUACCUUGCUGUUUUGACGUUACCAACAGAAUAAGCACCGGCUAACUUCGUG
rnacentral:rRNA from 1 species